rnacentral:rRNA from 1 species
UAAAGCAAAGAAGAGCGCAGAGUGAAUGCCUUGGCAUUGAGAGCCGAAGAAGGACGUGGUUAACUGCGAUAAGCAGCGGGGAGUUGUAAGCAAGCAUUGAUCCGCUGAUUUCCGAAUGGAGCAAUCCGCAUGAAGUAGUUCAUGCAUCCAUAUGUGAAUCAAUAGCAUAUGGAGGGGAACCGCCUGAACUGAAACAUCUAAGUAGGGCGAGGAAGAGAAAUCAACCGAGAUUCCGUAAGUAGUGGCGAGCGAACGCGGAAGAGGCCAAACCGAGAGAAGAAAUUCUUUCGGGGUUCGGACUGCAUUUAGUAUUCCUGAUCUUUAGUCGAACAGUCUGGGAAGGCUGACGAGAGAGUGUGAGAGUCACGUAGACGAAAAGGAGAAGGAGCGAGCAGGAUCCAGAGUACCGCGGGGCACGUGAAAUCCCGUGGGAAGAUGGGGGGACCACCCUCCAAGCCUAAAUACUACUCAAUGACCGAUAGCGUAUAGUACUGUGAAGGAACGGUGAAAAGAACCCCGGGAGGGGAGUGAAAAGAACCUGAAACUCUGUGCUUACAAGCACAUAGAGCACGUCAAUGUGUGAUAUGGUACCUUUUGUAGAAUGGUCCGGCGAGUUAUGGUAUGCAGCAUGGUUAAGGACUUGAGGUCUGAAGCCGAAGCGAGAGCGAGUCUGACAAGGGCGAUAAGUUGUAUGCCAUAGACCCGAAACCGGGUGACCUAGCCAUGUCCAGGCUGAAGUGGAGGUAAAACUCCAUGGAGGGCCGAACCGACCUCCGUUGAAAAGGCGGCGGAUGAGAUGUGGCUAGCGGAGAAAUUCCAAUCGAACCCGGAUAUAGCUGGUUCUCCCCGAAAUAGCUUUAGGGCUAGCGUUGUAUUAGAUUACCGGAGGUAAAGCACUGAAUGGGCUAGGGGCUGAGAAGUUACUGAACCCUAUCAAACUAAGAAUGCCGGAUAAUUGAUGUACAGCAGUCAGACUAUGUGAGAUAAGUCUCAUAGUCAAAAGGGAAACAGCCCAGACCCACAGCUAAGGUCCCAAAAUGGAUUUAAGUGGAAAAGGAUGUGGAAUUGCACAGACAACCAGGAUGUUGGCUUAGAAGCAGCCACUCAUUAAAAGAGUGCGUAAUAGCUCACUGGUCGAGUGACCCUGCGCCGAAAAUUUAACGGGGCUAAAUCAUACACCGAAGCUUGGGAUUGACAGAUAUUCUUCAUGUUUUCAGGCAGGAUAGGAAAGAGAGAAAAUCUGAUGACGCCGAAGAAUGAGGCGGCAUUAAAUUUCUGUUCAAGUAAAAGCAUGAAGAUGUGAAGAAUAUCUGUCGAUGGUAGGAGAGCGUUCUAUGUGGGGAGAAGUCUGAGCGGAAGCGCAGGUGGACUGCAUAGAAGUGAGAAUGCCGGAAUGAGUAGCGCGAAAUAUGUGAGAAUCAUAUUGGCCGAAAGUCUAAGGUUUUUGGAGGAAGGUUCGUCCGCUCCAAGUAAGUCGGGAGCUAAGGUCAGGCCGAAAGGCGUAGCCGAUGCACAUACGGUUGAUAUUCCGUAACCAUCUGUAAUUUAAGCAAAGGGACACUUCAAAAGGGUGUGACCCGGGCGUUGGUUGACCCGGGCGUAAGGGACCGAAAUUAGAGUAGGGAAGCACACUUAGCUGAAGGCGAGAAAAGCUUUGCGUAUAGAAACAGAUGCCCGUACCGCAAACCGACACAGGUGGACAGGAAGAGAAUUCUAAGGCCAGCGGGAGAAGGGUAGUUAAGGAACUCGGCAAAUUGACUCCGUAACUUCGGAAUAAGGAGUGCUCGAAAGAGCCGCAGAGAAUAGGCCCAGGCGACUGUUUAGCAAAAACACAGGUCUCUGCCAAAUCGAAAGAUGAAGUAUAGGGGCUGACACCUGCCCGGUGCCGGAAGGUUAAGAGGAGGAGUGAGAGCUCCGAAUUGAAGCCCCGGUAAACGGCGGCCGUAACUAUAACGGUCCUAAGGUAGCGAAAUUCCUUGUCAGGU